CCUACGGGAGGCAGCAGUGGGGAAUAUUGCACAAUGGGGGAAACCCUGAUGCAGCGACGCCGCGUGAGUGAAGAAGUACUUCGUUAUGUAAAGCUCUAUCAGCGGGGAAGACAAUGACGGUACCUGAGUAAGAAGCCCCGGCUAACUACGUACCAGCAGCCACGGUAAUACGUAGGGGGCAAGCGUUAUGCGGAUUUACGGGGUGUAACGGGAGCGUAGACGGCAGUGCAAGACUGGAGUGAAAGGCGGGGGCUCAACCCCCGGAAUGCGCUGGAUACUGGACGGCUGGAGUGCAGUAGAGGGAAGUGGAAUUCCUGGUGUAGCGGUGAAAUGCGUAGAGAUUAGGAGGAACACCAGUGGCGAAGGCGGCUUACUGGACUGUAACUGACGUUGAGGUGCGAAAGCGUGGGGAGCAAACAGGAUUAGAUACCCUUGUAGUC
rnacentral:rRNA from 1 species